AGACAGGAAAUAAGCUUUCCUGCUUGAGUAGGAAAUGCAGGCAACUUGAACUCACAAGAAAGAAGUCAGAAAGUGUACUACUCCCUAUAAAAAGGGGAAGACUUGUGGAAAAUACACCAUUUUUUGCCUGUCUCAGUGAAAGCUAGAAAGCAAAUCUCUUCACACUUCUUGAGAGAGAAGGUUGUGUCCAGACUUGAAAAUUAAGGAAGUCCCACAGCCUUUCUGAGCUUUACACUGGGAGGAAAAUGAACUGCCUGAGCAGAGGAUGAAUGUUGUCUUGGGUCACCAUCAAGAUCUUGACCUGCCUAACUGAUGUGACUCAGGGAAAGAGAAAGGAGUCUGCUGUUUGCACUGCAAGAUUUCGAGCUCAACUUAAACCUGAAGUGCAUGGACGUGGUUGGGCAUGAUCUUGUGAAUCACCUGAAGCAUGUUUGCAACAAACAAAAGCCAUCAUAAUUCUCCCAAAGUCAACAAAGAUGUAAUAUAUGAGGGAAUAGUGAGAGCAGCAGGUGUUGUCAGAAUUUAUGGAGGAGCAGCAAGCCCAGGCGGCAGCCCCACAGGAAGAGCAGUGACAGUUACUGCAGCAAAGGAGCUCAAGAAUUACAAGAGCAGGGCAGAGCUGCAGCUACUCUAUAGCCUGGCCCUUGGGCAGGAACCAGCAAGACAUUGACUCUGGGCUUGCAUGGCCAACUCUAGCAGUAAGACUAGGAGCAAUCAGGGCAACCAGUCGCCCAAGACCCGUGCUGAAUGAGCGUGGCCCAUGCUGUGCAUGCUGAUCUCUGAGCGAUGGUACUGCUGCCGAGUGGGAGAGGUACAUCUUGAACCAGUUGGGAAUCCCAGAAUAGAAGUACUGAUAAAGGCUCAUGGAGGAAUUUAACUACCCAGACAUCUGUUGAGUAACAAAUACAGCUGAACAUGCAUCAUCGCAGAGGUUCCUAAAUUACAGUGAAGACAACUUUAUGAUCCAGAAAGUAGAGACUCCUGAGGAGAAGCCAUCCUGGAUCUACAGGAAUAUAUUAAUGAAAUUUGCAGAUGAAACUUUGCAAGUGCAUUAAAAAUAUAGCAGCUCUGUGACUCUAGCCCAGUAUCAUAUGUAUUUAGAGCGGACUGUCUUCCACAUCCAUUUAUUAAUUUUUACCAUUUCAUAAGUAAAUGAAAGCUCAAACCCAUGUUCUGCUGUCUUUAAAACUGUUUGCAUCAUCCAUGCAUGCCAGACAUUUGAAAUCUACAGACUCUUAACUAAUAUACUUUGCAAACGUUUCUGCUGGACGACGUACAGCUCGUGACGGAGACCCAGAGAAUUAGAAAAAUUGACAGAUAAUAACACUAUGCCAAUUCAGUUCAAAAAUGCAAAAGCAUACUUUUGCAGAAGAAAAAUCAUUUGAAACAAAUGUUGUGUAAGAUGAGGAACCUUAAGACGCAGAAAUAUUGAAAAGAUAAUACUGAACAGCAAAUAAGGCAUAAGUUUUCAAUAAGGCACAAUAGGAAAGGAGGCCUAUAAAGUUUUGGAGUACAAACAAAGAGAUAUUAUGUCACGGGGUAAAGUUCAAAUAGGGCUUUUUCCCUUCCUCGUUGGUAUCAGGCAAUACAAAAUAGGCUAGCACAUUAAAAUGAACAACAAAAAGGUUUUGUUGAUUAUCAAGAUGGACUUCUGGCAGUGGAACGUAGGGGAUUAUGGAAAAUCUGGAAGUUUUGUCUUACAGUGACACUAAGGAGAAAAAAGAAAAGCAACCAAAAAGCCUGCAGCAUUUGAUUUUUAUCCUAAAACAAGGGGCGCUGUGAAAUCCUAGGGGAAAGAUUUCUCUUAAAAUUUCUCACAUAAAUCAGCUAGUCUUUGCCAUCCUGAAAGAAAAAAACAGCCCUGAAUGAAUCCUGCUUCAUUCCUCAGAUUCAGUAUAUGGAUAAUGCAGGUUUACUCUCUAAUGAUUCAUUUCCUUACAUCUGGAGAAUGUGUCUUUUGAAUUUUGUUUUGGGGGGGGGAACACAUUUUUUUUUUUUCCUCUUUUGCCAGGUUUUAAUUUGAUGCAUUCAUUUCUCCAUUACCAUUCUGUCCCAGCAUUUAUUGUCUCAAACACUAUUCAGCAAAAUCUCUUUCACAUCUCUUCGGGAAGGUAACAUUUCAGUUUCCAUUUGUAACAGCAAGGUAUGAUCUCAGUGGGAUGGUAAUCUUCCUGCUAAAACAAUGUUCAUUAGCUUUGUGAUGAAAUAUGCCUGUGUUAUAAAUAUUUCCAGAAAAGAAUAAAACUUUUCACUAGUCUAUGUCA
rnacentral:lncRNA from 1 species